CAUGAUAAUAAUUGUAGGAACUGUGUUUGCCUACGGUGUGACAAGUAGUGGAAAGACACAUUUCCAAAUCAACCUAUGAGGUUGUAAGUUUUUGCAUUCUUCACCUCUCUUCAUAUCCUUGUUUUCUCUUCACUGUUGAUUUCAAAUGUUUCUCUUCACUGGGGUUUGCAUGCAGGUUAAAAGUAUUCAAGGUUGAGCUGAUUUUGUUGGAUUCAAUCCUUUAGAUCUUUUUUUCUCUGUCAUAAGAGUUGAAUUAUGGAACAAGAAUGUCAAGACUUGCCUCCCUAACUGCAGAGUAGAAACACUUAAUAGUGAAGAGGCUCAGAAUCUUUUACCUGGUGUGUGUUUACCAUUCAACUCACGUUUCUAUAUGCCCAAAGCUCUUAACAUCCGUUCUCAACACUAUCUUCAGGCACUUUUCCUAGCAUGUGAGAAUUUGGUGAAAGAAUCCUCCACCCUUGACUCGGGUCAGAAACAGCUCAAUUUACACAAAAGAGCUGUCCAUAGACUUUCCGAGUUUGAAGGUCAUAAUUCAUUGCUAUGAGUUUUGUUCUUUUGCUGAUAUCUGACUGCUUUUUUCUUUUUCCUUGAAAGUGAGUGAAUGGAACAAUUUAAACUUAG